AUUGAGCGCUGGCGGCAUGCUUCACACAUGCAAGUCGAACGGUAGAGGGGGCAACCCCUUGAGAGUGGCGAACGGGUGAGUAAUGCAUCGGAACGUGCCCAGUCGUGGGGGAUAACGCAGCGAAAGCUGUGCUAAUACCGCAUACGAUCUCUGGAUGAAAGCGGGGGACCGAAAGGCCUCGCGCGAUUGGAGCGGCCGAUGUCAGAUUAGGUAGUUGGUGGGGUAAAGGCUCACCAAGCCAACGAUCUGUAGCUGGUCUGAGAGGACGACCAGCCACACUGGGACUGAGACACGGCCCAGACUCCUACGGGAGGCAGCAGUGGGGAAUUUUGGACAAUGGGCGCAAGCCUGAUCCAGCAAUGCCGCGUGCAGGAAGAAGGCCUUCGGGUUGUAAACUGCUUUUGUACGGAACGAAAAGGUCUGGGUUAAUACCCUGGGCACAUGACGGUACCGUAAGAAUAAGCACCGGCUAACUACGUGCCAGCAGCCGCAGUAA
rnacentral:rRNA from 1 species